GACGAACGCUGGCGGCGUGCCUAACACAUGCAAGUGGAGCGACGAACCGGGCUUCGGCCCGGAGCAAAGCCGCGAACGGGUGAGUAACGCGUGGGUAACCUGCCCCAAUGACUGGGACAACCCGAGGAAACUCGGGCUAAUACCGGAUGUGUACCCAGACCUUCUGGUCUGUGUGCAAAGGAAGCUUCGGCCUCCGCAUUGGGAUGGGCCCGCGUCCCAUUAGCUUGUUGGUGGGGUAACGGCUUACCAAGGCGAUGAUGGGUAGCUGGUCUGGAAGGACGAGCAGCCACACUGGGACUGGGACACGGCCCAGACUCCUACGGGAGGCAGCAGUGGGGAAUCUUGCGCAAUGCGCGAAAGCGUGACGCAGCAACGCCGCGUGAGGGAAGAAGGUCUUCGGAUUGUAAAGCACUUAAAGUUGGGAGGAAGGGCAGUAAGUUAAUACCUUGCUGUUUUGACGUUACCGACAGAAUAAGCACCGGCUAACUCUGUGCCAGCAGCCGCAGUAA
rnacentral:rRNA from 1 species